rnacentral:rRNA from 1 species
UACGGGGGGGGCAAGCGUUGUUCGGAAUUACUGGGCGUAAAGGGCUCGUAGGCGGCCAACUAAGUCAGACGUGAAAUCCCUCGGCUUAACCGGGGAACUGCAUCUGAUACUGGAUGGCUUGAGAUUGGGAGAGGGAUGCGGAAUUCCUGGUGUAGCGGUGGAAUGCGCAGAUAUCAGGAGGAACACCAUAGCGAAGGCAGCUCGCUGGGACGUUACUGACGCUGAGGACGAAAGCGUGGGGAGCGAACAGGG